AGGCAAGUUUUUAAGGGCGCACGGUGGAUGCCUUGGCACCAGGAACCGAUGAAGGACGCGAGAGGCCGCGAUAGGCCCCGGGGAGCUGUCAACUGAGCUGUGAUCCGGGGGUGUCCGAAUGGGGAAACCCGGCAGUCGUCAUGGGCUGUCACCCAUACCUGAACACAUAGGGUAUGUGGAGGGAACGCGGGGAAGUGAAACAUCUCAGUACCCGCAGGAAGAGAAAACAACCGUGAUUCCGGGAGUAGUGGCGAGCGAAACCGGAUGAGGCCAAACCGUAUGCGUGUGAUACCCGGCAGGGGUUGCGUAUGCGGGGUUGUGGGAUCGCACUUCAGCAGUCUGCCGACUGUUGGGCGAGUCAGAAACCGUAUGGAUAGGCGAAGGACAUGCGAAAGGUCCGGCGUAGAGGGUAAGACCCCCGUAGCUGAAAUCUGUACGGCUUGCUUGUGCGACACCCAAGUAGCACGGGGCCCGAGAAAUCCCGUGUGAAUCUGGCGGGACCACCCGCUAAGCCUAAAUAUUCCCUGGUGACCGAUAGCGGAUAGUACCGUGAGGGAAUGGUGAAAAGUACCGCGGGAGCGGAGUGAAAUAGUACCUGAAACCGUGUGCCUACAAGCCGUGGGAGCGUCGCUGUGCAUGCUUGCAUGCACAGUCGUGACUGCGUGCCUUUUGAAGAAUGAGCCUGCGAGUUUGCGGUGUGUGGCGAGGUUAACCCGUGUGGGGUAGCCGUAGCGAAAGCGAGUCCGAAUAGGGCGAAUGAGUCGCGCGCCCAAGACCCGAAGCGGAGUGAUCUAGCCAUGGGCAGGUUGAAGCGGAGGUAAGACUUCGUGGAGGACCGAACCCACCAGGGUUGAAAACCUGGGGGAUGACCUGUGGUUAGGGGUGAAAGGCCAAUCAAACUCCGUGAUAGCUGGUUCUCCCCGAAAUGCAUUUAGGUGCAGCGUCGCGUGUUUCUUGCCGGAGGUAGAGCACUGGAUAGGCGAUGGGCCCUACCGGGUUACUGACCUUAGCCAAACUCCGAAUGCCGGUAAGUGAGAGCGCGGCAGUGAGACUGUGGGGGAUAAGCUCCAUGGUCGAGAGGGAAACAGCCCAGAGCAUCGACUAAGGCCCCUAAGCGUACGCUAAGUGGGAAAGGAUGUGGAGUCGCAGAGACAACCAGGAGGUUGGCUUAGAAGCAGCCAUCCUUGAAAGAGUGCGUAAUAGCUCACUGGUCAAGUGAUUCCGCGCCGACAAUGUAGCGGGGCUCAAGCGUACCGCCGAAGUCGUGUCA
rnacentral:rRNA from 1 species